rnacentral:rRNA from 1 species
CAGUAGCCACGGUAAUACGGAGGGGGCUAGCGUUGUUCGGAAUUACUGGGCGUAAAGCAUACGUAGGCGGCUUUGUAAGUUAGAGGUGAAAGCCUGGAGCUCAACUCCAGAAUUGCCUUUAAGACUGCAUCGCUUGAACGUCGGAGAGGUGAGUGGAAUUCCGAGUGUGGAGGUGAAAUUCGUAGAUAUUCGGAAGAACACCAGUGGCGAAGGCGGCUCACUGGACGACUGUUGACGCUGAGGUACGAAAGCGUGGGGAGCAAACAGGAUUAGAUACCCCAGUAGUCCCUGUCUCUUAUAC